AAAUGUAACAUUAUGUUAUCCUAAUUCAUACAUCAAAUAUAAUACGUUACAUGUUCAGUGGGUUGUUUGUAUAAAAGUUAAUUUGUUCUAUAAGUUGUAUGGGCUGGUAAGUUGUAUGGGCCUUGGGCUUAUUUGUGUGUUAAGUGUGCAGUAUUGGAAGAUUAGGGGGCAAAGUGAAACAUGGGCUGUUGCUGUUAUAAAAAAGGAAAAGUUAAGUGUAUCUGGAUGAUUCUUACACGCCUGUUUCUCUCUUAUCUCACCUACCUAUCCUUCUUUAGUCGGUUACAAGUUGUUCAAGCAGCUGUUACAAGUCGCUGAUGAUGUUUAUGAUCCAAUGUGGAUCUUAUUUCAGUUGUUGAUCCUUCGUGUGGAUCUGUGGUUACUAUAGAUCCUGUGGAUCUCUGUUUUGGUUGUAUUGUCCUUGUUAAUCAACUGAUAAUCAUCAGUUGAUUAUUUAUUAUUUCUUGUACUGUUUGUAUUUUGGAUCUUACAGUUUGUAAGGUCUUGGGCGUUGGGUGUUUUUCGGUUUGGGUAACUAAUAAGAUUUUUACGUCACGUUUUGUCGCUUCUUUUGUGUUUCUUGUUGUUUCUGUGUUUGUAUUGUGAGUCUUUCAUACCAUUUUGACAUGGUAUCAGAGCCACAGGCUCUUGAUUCGUUGUUUUUUUUUUCAAAGUUUUGUUAAUAAUAAAAACCCUUAUUUGUUCAUUUGAUUCAUGGAUCUGAAGUGUUGGGUUUAUUAUUGUUUGAGUAUUUCUGAUCUUGGGGUUCAACCGUGUUUUGAGUUUUUAAGUGCUCUUGUGACUUAGUGGUUGUUCGAUUCUAGUGUCUUCCGCUGCAAGAGUGAUUCGUCUUUUAGGGUUUCUUUCGUCUUGAACCCUAGAUUUUUUGUUUGUCUCGUUGUCGAUUGGUUUAGGGUUCAAUCACACAUUUUCAAUCCUAAGUCGAAGGUUCUCCUGAUAUUUGGUGUUCUAGCACUGUUCGUUGUACAAAACCCUAGCUCAAGCAGUCUCUGAAAAAACAGCACAUCUUGAUUCGCUGGUCUCUUUGGCAAGGUUAUUGUGGAAAAGGGACGUUAAUAUAUUGUUGUCAAUUUGGGCUUGUUCAAGUUGAAACUGCUGAUCCGUGUUUAGAGUGUUGUACCCAGGGUUUCUAGCGACCUGAAUAUGAUCUAUUGUUCUUUUCACAGUAAAUCCAAAAUUACCACUUGGAUGCUUUGUUUGGGGUUGUCUAUGUUGUCCAAAAGAUGUAGUAUGACUUGUUCAAAUGAACUCCAUUGUUUUAUUAAGGUAAAAUGGUUUUUUGAAAUAAGUGUGUUGCUAUGUUAACCAAAAGAUUGAUAUAUCUAAUUUCAUGAGCACUCAUGUUUAUAAUAUGAUAUUAGUUCUUGAUGUGUUGAUGUCUGUUGCUUGUAUGUUGUUCAUCAAUUAGUGAGUAACAUCUUGGUCAUUGAAUUCAUGUUGUUCACGGCCUGUCUUGUUAUCAUGUUUCUUAAACGCAAAUGUUGUUGUUUUGUGUGGUGUGAAUCUUUAUCUUGGAUCAUGUGAUUCAACUCUGUUUUUUUGGACUGUCUAAGUGUCUCCUAGGCAUUGUCCGUAUGUCUUAUUGUAUUUUGUUGUAUAAUUAGUCAAACCAUGUGGUUUGAGUGUUCUCUAAUCUGUUGUUUUGCCAAGAUUGCUCUUGAUAUCUGUUUGUAUCUGUCUUGUUAUGAGAUCUAUAUGUUGAGAAUUUUUGUCUUGAAUGUUGUUAAAUUGUCUUUUGUUUGCAGUCUCUAUGUCUGCUUGUCUUUAAUCUUGUUUGGGUGGUUAGUUGAACUGUGUGGUUCAUGUUUAACCAUCAGUGUUGUCAAGAUUUGUUUUAUAUGUGACAGCCUUGUAUGUUAUCUCAAGUGAGAUGUAUUUUUCCUGAUUGCAAAUUGUGUAAUUGUGUGUUGAAUCAGGAUGUCUUUGGCUGUGUCUUGUUGUCUUGUGUAUGUCUCAGUAUUCUUAGCCUUGUGAGUGAGAUAUUAAAUCAUGUGGUUUUGUAUUUCAUUAUUUGUUUAGGCUGAAAUUGUUGUCUGAUAUAGAAGUGUGUACUUCACGUUUAUUUGUGUUGAUAUGAAUCUUGUGAUUCCAUAUUUCUUGAAAAGCUAUAAAAGUUUUUUAUCAAGUCAAAUUUGACUUUGAGUUCUUCACAAGUAUAAUUGUUUGGACUUGGUUCCAAGUUCUUAAAAGUCAUGUGUUUUUUAGUUUAUAUGAUAUACCUGUGGUAUUGUUGGUGAAUUGUGUGAUUCAUUGUUUUCAGACUUUGUUCUGUGUUAUGUUGUUUUUUUGUGAACCUCUAGUUUAUUAGAAAUGUUUCUGAAAAAAUUCUAGUAUUCUAUUGUAGUCUAACCGUUUUUGAAUCGUGUGAUUCAAUUUUGUGGUCAUGUCUUGUGCUAUUGUAAAGGUUUUUUUGGUAAAAUCAAACGAGUCUUUAUGAUUUCUUGACUAGUUUUUUUUGUUCAGAUAUGGGUCUGAAAUUUUUAGACAUGCGACUUUGUGUAUCGUUUAAGUAGUUGAUUCUUUUGAUUGUAGAGUCAAAGUCUAUUGUUCAAUUAAAAUCUCUAAAUCUUGUCAUAUGUGAAUUCUUGUUAUAAUAGUUUUUGUAUGGUUGAAGAUUCAUGCUAUUCUUGUUCGUUUUAGACCUAGUUGAGAGUUGUGAAUAUUGUUCGAUAUUGUGCUGAUUGUUUAGUUUAUGGGUCUUUGUUUGUCAGGGUUGCUUCUUGAUUUAUCUGAGUCUUUAUUAGAUUAGUUUACGAGCGUGAUAAAUGGUUAUCGAAUCCUGUGUUUUUUUUUACAGAAUCGUUCUGCAUCAUGUGAUAACUUCUUGGCUUCAAUACUGUUAAAAUUGUUUUCUGCAUAUGAUCCGUAUAUCAUAUUGUAUUAUUGUCAUAUCUCAUGAUUUGAAUAGGUUUAAUGUGGUAUGAGUUCAAGCUUGUCUCUUGUGUGUAUGUAGUCUUAGCCUUGUAUUUUUCUCUUCUGUAAGAGAUGUGUUUCUAGUUGUGUAUUUUGCUAGAGUCUGUGUUGGUUAUCAUUGUAUGGUAUUUUUUAAAUCAUAUCAGUUUAUCUGGUCUGUUGUCUGUUUGUUAUGAAGAGUUUUUUGAUUAGUUGUUAUUGUUUGUGUUGUUCUACUUCAAGGAAUCUCAUAUCUACUUCUCAUGUCUUGUCUUGUCUUAUAACGGACUAAACAUUUUGAGAUCGAUUUGCAUUUUCUGAGAGAAAAGAUUGCAAAUGGUAUUGUUCUUCCUGAGAAAGUUGUGUUGUUUCUGAUGAUCAGUAGAUGAUCAGUUGGCAUACCUAUUCACGAAAGGGUUGAAUGGGUUUCAACAUCAGGAUUUAUGUGAAAAGUUGGGAAUGGUUAAUGUGUUUGCUGUAUGAAUUAUGGGGGGAUGUUAAAAUGUAACAUUAUGUUAUCCUAAUUCAUACAUCAAAUAUAAUACGUUACAUGUUCAGUGGGUUGUUUGUAUAAAAGUUAAUUUGUUCUAUAAGUUGUAUGGGCUGGUAAGUUGUAUGGGCCUUGGGCUUAUUUGUGUGUUAAGUGUGCAGUAUUGGAAGAUUAGGGGGCAAAGUGAAACAUGGGCUGUUGCUGUUAUAAAAAAGGAAAAGUUAAGUGUAUCUGGAUGAUUCUUACACGCCUGUUUCUCUCUUAUCUCACCUACCUAUCCUUCUUUAGUCGGUUACAAGUUGUUCAAGCAGCUGUUACAAGUCGCUGAUGAUGUUUAUGAUCCAAUGUGGAUCUUAUUUCAGUUGUUGAUCCUUCGUGUGGAUCUGUGGUUACUAUAGAUCCUGUGGAUCUCUGUUUUGGUUGUAUUGUCCUUGUUAAUCAACUGAUAAUCAUCAGUUGAUUAUUUAUUAUUUCUUGUACUGUUUGUAUUUUGGAUCUUACAGUUUGUAAGGUCUUGGGCGUUGGGUGUUUUUCGGUUUGGGUAACUAAUAAGAUUUUUACGUCACGUUUUGUCGCU